rnacentral:lncRNA from 1 species
UCUAGGUAGGUUCAUAGUAAACUCCAUCUGUCUGUGCAAAUCUGAAAAGCCAGAAGGUGAAAGACUCGCCUUUCCUCCAGAAGGCAAGGCAAGGAUACCUCGGUGCUUCACAUAGAUGGAAUAAUACAAGUGAAGGUCACUUGGUAAGUUUCUGGUAGAGUUUAUUUCCCGUUACUAUGGAUUGAUUGCCAGAGAGCAGCAACAUUUAUAGUUUCCAUGUGUUUUAGAUGAUUAAAGCAUGUUUAAAUGGGUUCAACCUAAUUUAUUAGAUUAUAGAUGAGCAGUUGACUCAAGAUACAAGGCAUUUCUUAGAUAACAUUAUAUAUAUAUAUAUAUAUAUAUAUAUAUAUACAUAUAUAUAUUCUCAGCUUUUAGAUUCAGUUCUAUUUAAAAAGCUGCUCUUUUUUUAAUCUGAACCAGGAAUUAGAUUGGGGGUACCUUGUACGGACUGAUCCAGCAGCUGUGCCAGUGCAGGAGAUCUCGUCUCUUCCUUGAGCAUCUGCAGUCAUCAGGAAAACUCUGGCAUUUUUGGAGCAAAAUGCAGCAGGG